rnacentral:rRNA from 1 species
ACACUAACUGGAGGACCGAACCGACUAAUGUUGAAAAAUUAGCGGAUGACCUGUGGCUGGGGGUGAAAGGCCAAUCAAACCGGGAGAUAGCUGGUUCUCCCCGAAAGCUAUUUAGGUAGCGCCUCGUGAAUUCAUCUCCGGGGGUAGAGCACUGUUUCGGCUAGGGGGCCAUCCCGGCUUACCAACCCGAUGCAAACUGCGAAUACCGGAGAAUGUUAUCACGGGAGACACACGGCGGGUGCUAACGUCCGUCGUGAAGAGGGAAACAACCCAGACCGCCAGCUAAGGUCCCAAAGUCAUGGUUAAGUGGGAAACGAUGUGGGAAGGCCCAGACAGCCAGGAUGUUGGCUUAGAAGCAGCCAUCAUUUAAAGAAAGCGUAAUAGCUCACUGGUCGAGUCGGCCUGCGCGGAAGAUGUAACGGGGCUAAACCAUGCACCGAAGCUGCGGCAGCGACGCUGAUGCGUUGUUGGGUAGGGGAGCGUUCUGUAAGCCUG